rnacentral:lncRNA from 1 species
CUGAAAUAAUAAAGUGAAACAGUGUUUAAAAGUGCCGCUCAUCAUACACAAUAACAACUUUCGAAAAACUAAAUACAUUUCCCAAAACCAAGAAUCUCCUAAUCACAAGUCUUUGAAUGUCUACAAGUGUCUAACACCAGAAUGUCUAACAAAAAAAUAAAAGUAAAGAAGGGCUAAUACAAAAGGAAGUGUAGAAAGGGAGUCUCCGAUCUACGGACGAGACAUAUAUCCCUCAGAGUCUCUACAGUGCCUCGCCUUAUGAGUGAUAAGUCUGAGUAGAGGUACCUGGAUUUGCACAUGAAAAAGAUGCUUAGAAAGGGUAUUGAGUACACCACAACGGCACUCAGUAAGUAACAACCCCAGCCUUGGUCGGGUAGUGACGAGGAAGGUCAGGGCCCUACUAAUAUUAAAUAAAGUAUAAGGUAUAAGAGUAUAAGGUAAAACAGUACAGUCUAAAGAGAAUAGUGAGAACCAAAAUAGGAUAGUAAGGAUAACAACAAUAACUGAAACAUAGACAAAACAAUCACAAGAAAUACCCCUUUUCACAAGGAUAAAUAUUUGGAGAUCUCUUAGUAUCCCGAGGAUAUCUUGGUAUCCUCAAUAAUAUACUAGGAAUCUCUUGGUAUCCCAAGGAUCUCUUGGUAUUCUCAAUAUGUGCUAGGGAUCUCUUGGUAUCCCGAGGAUCUCUUGGAAUCCUUAAUAUGUACUAGGGAUCUCUUGGUAUCCUCAAUAAAUGCUAGUGAUAUUUUGGUAUUCCGAGGAUCUCUUUGUAUCCUCAAUAUAUAUGUAAAUGAUCUCUUGGUAUCAAAGCUUCAGCUCAAAUCAUAAUUACAUAUAAGGGAUCUCCUGGAUGUCGUCACGUAGUCCCAAAGUAAAACACACAGCAAUAGCACAAAGAAUACUCAAUUAAAUUCAACUUCACUCCAAGGUAAAAUAGGAAAUUCUAGCCUAGCAUGCUUCACGUAAUACAAAUAAAGCAGUUAAAGCAAAUAGAGCAAUUAAGUCAAUCAGACAUGCUUCUCUAAGCUAACACAGGCUUAAAAUUCCAAGUGGUGUAGGCAGUAAAGGAAAAACACAACUAAAGCUAUUUUAAUAAAAAAGGGGGGGAUUUUAAAAAAUUAGCACAAGUACACAUUCGUCACCUCACGUACAAGACAUUUCAAUUAUCACAAUAUCAAUCCUAAGGGGAAUGUCCCCAUGCAAGGUUAGACAAGCCACUCACCUCGAACCAGCUCAAAAUCAACCCAAAACCACGCUCUUACCAUGAGUACUCGACUCAAAAUGGACAAAAUCUAUUCAAUUCAAUUGCAUAAUGUAAAUAAUAAUUCAAGUAACUGAUUCUACAAAUAAAUUUUAAGCUAAUACGCGAAAUUAGGUAAAAUUACCAAAAUGCCCCUUGGGCCCACAUCUCGGAAUCGGGUGAAAUUUACAUUUCCAGAAUUCUCACAUUCUCACGAGUUUAAUCAUACCAAAAGUACCAAAAUUAUAUCUUAAAUGGUCCCUUAAAUCAUCACUCAAAGAUCUCUAAUUAGUCAAGCCCUAACCCCCAAAUUACCACGGAUUUACCUUAAGUUUUCAUGUUUGUAAUGAUAUAAAUCACCACAAUAAUAAGUUUAGGGACCAAAGAUCUUACGCUGUUGAAUACCUCUGAAAAUAUCUCUUCAAAAUGCUCCCGAAGAUUUCUUCACGUUUGAAAAGAGGUGAAAAUAACUCAAAUUUACGAAGGCAAGAAUUUAUAUGUUUCUGCCCAGCUAAUCCACUUCUGUGGUCAUGGGACCGCACUUGCGGUCUUGCUUUUGCGGACAAAUGGUCUCAUCUGUGAAAAUCACUAACUUAGCCUUCUCCACACUUGCAUUCCCCUUUUGCAAAUGUGGUGCCGCUUCUACGGUAAAUCUUCUGCAUCUACAGAUCCUGCUGUUCCUCCCCAAUUCUGCUUCUGCGAUGACAAUGCCGCUUCUACGGCUAUGCACCUGCAAGACCCAAUCACAAGUGCGGUUAUUACAGAAAACUAGUAGUUGAAGCUACUCAAACACCUCCCAACUCUUCUGACAACCUUCCGGAACCAUCCCGAGGCCCCCGAGACUUCAACUAAAGCACAUAAACAAGUCUAAUACCAUUUUCCAAACUUAUACCAAUCCUUAAAACACUUAAAACAUCAUCAAAACGAUGAAUCAACCACGGAUUCAAGCCUAAGAACUCCAAAAAUCUAAAAAUACGCUUUUGAUCAAAAAGUCUAUCAAAACCUCGAUCGAAUAACCUAAAAUUUUGCACACACGUCACAUUCAACACUAUGGCGCUACUCCAACUUAUAGAAUUCUAUUCUGAACCUCAGAUCAAAAAUCUCACUAUGAGACCGCAAACUUCAAAAAUUUGACUUUCGCCAUUUCAUGCCUAAAUUAGCUAUGGACCUCCAAAAGAUAAUUCGAUCACACCCCUAAGCCCGAAAUCGCUCAAAAGAGCUAACAGAACCAUCAAACUUCCAUUCUGAGGCUGUCUUCACGCUCUUCUGGUCAAAUUUCCAACAUCUAAGCUCUCAUUUAGCAACUAAGUAUCCCAAAACUCUUCGAAACAUAAAAUCGAACAUCCCGGCAAUUCAAAAUAGCAUAAAUAAACCUGGGGAAAGAAGUUAAUAGGGGAUCGGAGCGUAAAUUCAUAAGACGACUGGCCGGGUCAUCACAUCCUCCUACACUUAAACAUUCGUUCAUGCUCGAACUUACCUGAAGUAGUGAAAAGAUGAAGGUAACAGCUGUGCAUAUCCUGCUCGAUCUCCCGGGUCGCCUCCUCAACCGACUGACAGCGCCGCUAAACAUUCACUGAUGCAAUGUUCUUUGACCUCAGCUUUCUAACAUACCUAUCCAAUAUUGCCACUGUCUCCUCAACAUAGGAUAGAUCCUUGUCCAACUAGACUAAACUAAAAUUUAACACGUGCAAUCGCCAUGACACCUCCAGAGAAUCGAAACAUGAAAUACCGAAUGAACUCCUGCCAAGCUGGGAGGUAAGGCAAGCUCAUAAGAAACCUCCCCAACACCCAUAAAUAUCUCAAAAGGGCCAAUAAACUUUGGACUCAACUUCCCUUUCUUCCCAAAUCUCAUAAUGCCCUUUAUAGGCUAAACCCAUAGCUGAUUCUGCUCUCCAACCAUAUAGGAAAUAUCCCGGCAAUUUGAAAUAGCAUAAAUAAACCUCGGGAAAGAAGUUAAUAGGGGAUCAGAGCGUAAAUUCUUAAGACGACCGACUGGGUCGUCAUAUCCUCCUACAGUUAAACAUUCGCUCGUGCUCGAACUUACCUGAAGUAGUGAAAAGAUGAGGGUAACGGCUGUGCAUAUCCUGAUCGAUCUCUCUAGUUGCCUCUUCGACCCGCUGAUGACGCCACUAAACAUUCACUAAUGCCACGUUCUUUGACCUCAGCUUUCUUACCUGCCUAUCCAAUAUUGCCACUACUCCUCAACAUAUGAUAGAUCCUUGUCCAACUAAACUAAACUGAAAUCCAACGCAUGGGCUGAAUCACCGUGAUACCUCUGGAGCAUCAAAACAUGAAAUACCAUAUGAACUCAUGCCAAACUGGGAUAUAAGGCAAGCUCAUAAGCAACCUCCCCAACACGCCUCAAUACCUCCCUUUCUUCCCAAAUCUCAUAACACCCUUUAUAGGCGAAACCCAUAGCAGAACUUGCUCUCCAACCAUAAAAAUUAGCUCCGUUAAUUUUUGUGUAUAUUUGGAUAUAGUCGAGGCCUUAUCAUUAUUAUUCUUUUGUUCAUAUAAUUUCUGUAGAUAUUUGUGGGUCUAAGUUAUGUCUUUUAUCAUCUUAUUAAUGUCUCACUUGGCAUGUAUUAGAACUUUUUGGUUAUAUUUGUCACACUCUUUUUUUCACCUCACUAACCUCUUUAAAAUUAAAAAAAGUUUUUUAAGCUUAAUAGGAUCUUCAAAUUGAAAGUGACAAAGUUGUGUUUCUAAAAGAUUUUUCAGAGUCGUCACUUUACAUUUAAAUUUUGAUGUGCCAGAUCACCAUUUCUAAAAAAUAAUUUUUCUUCAAAAACCCAUUUUACUCUAAGACCGAUUGCACCAGAGACUUUGAGUAAGAGGACUUAUUUAACUUACGAAGAAGGUGUUAGGCAUUUUUCGAGUUUCGUGAAAAAUACGAUUGCAAACUUAAUCUAAUUGACUUUCAAGAACACUCAAAUUGAGGCAAAAACACACCAGGAAUAAUGGCAUACAAGAGGCUCGAGGUUGUCCCGCCUAAAUAAGAGAAAAUAAAAAUAAAAAUAAAAAUGAGAAUAAAAUACCACAAGUUCUACUUUCUGGCCUCCAAUUACAGAAAAUUACAUGGCAUUUUUUGAAAUAAAAUAUCGAUAAAUUCUUCGGAUAUUUUCUGAAUAAAUCUCACCUAGAAUGAAAUAAAAGAUGAGACCUAAAAUUUACCUACCUAAGUGUAGUUAACCUAAGCUUGAUGAUCAAAGAAGCAACAUAAAAUAAUGAAAUAUCUCAUUCUUUUUUACUUAACUUCCCUUCGCAUGUCCUAAGUCGGACAAUUUAUAUGAGCCAAACAACAGGGAAUAAAUUAUUCAAAACAUAUAAAUAGUGAAAGAUCAAACAAAUAACUAUUCGAAUAGGGGACAAAUAAAUAACUAGUGGAGAAACAGACAACUACAAAAGGGACACAUAACAAUGGGAAACAAAUGAAGCGAUCAAAAAAUAGCCAAAUGAACAGAGAAUCGUGUCUUCAAAACCGUCUCAUAUUUGUCAACUUAGAGACCAUUCCACAGAUUCAUUGGAACAAAGAACUGUUAUUUAUUAAGAAUGAGGAGGUCAAAUAUGUGAAUCUAAGACAAAUUGAUUAUUCCUAUUAGAAUGAAACCUCAAGUAUAGUUAAAACGAAGAAGCACCAUGAACCAAAUCGAACAGACAUCACGAGAGCAGUAAUAUAAUGUUUCUAGGAAACUAAUUAGACCUAGGUGAGUCUAAGAUUAUUAACCGCAAAUUUCAGUAACGUAAAACUAUUUCUGUGGACCGAUAUCAUGGAAUAACUUAACAUCACACACAAAAUAACAUUGCAAACAAAAGAUAGAGGGAGAAGAAAGAACCUCAACGAGCCAACUUAUGUUGAUUCUAAAAGUAAUUUCAACCAGAUUUGCAACAAAUUCUCAAGUAAAUAACUACAAUGCAGUAGCAAGAACCGAGAGGUUGUGAGUUCUGAGUCUCCCAAAGAGCAAGGUGGGAAUUUCUUGGACGGAAGGAUGCCGGAGUCUAUUUGGAAACAGACUCUCUACCCAAGGGUAGGGGUAAGGUCUGCGUACACACUACCUUUCUCAGACCCCCACUAAGUAAGAUUAUACUGGGUUGUUGUUGUUGUUGCAGUAGCAAGUACCGGAACUCGGACCGAGACCUCAAACAUGAACCAGAACAGCACCCACAGAAAACUUGAACGAACUCAACUCGCUGAGACUCCAUAUUUGAUAUCCAAAAAUCGAACAAGAAAAGGGGACUGCUGUAUUUUCGUGUUUUUUAAUUGUGAAAUUUCAAGGUCAAAAGGAAUUUGCCAAUUUUUUAUGUGAAAGAACUCAGAAAAAUAGAGAAAUGUUCGAAAAUUGAAAACCAAAAUCCUAGAACUCUCUUCUCUGCCCAAUUUUUAUCCAAAAGUAUUCUGUCUAAAUAAAUUCUCCCGAUUUUCUAUCUAUCCCUCUCUGUUUUUGUAGUUAUAUUUUGUUUAACAUAAUUGGGGUUGUUGAAAAUUGGCUUAGCAAACGAAAUGGUGAAGAAGGUGUAGUGGAGAAGGUUGAAAGGUUUGGUGGAAGCUGGUUUGGAAUUAGAGUGGCAGAAGCAUGGAGAUUUCGUGGGGUGCUGCUACUCUUGAAGAUUAAGUUUAGGAUUUGUGAAUAUUAAGGUUUUAUAUGGAUGUGGGGAAAUAAUAC